rnacentral:rRNA from 1 species
AGUGAACGCUGGCGGUAGGCCUAACAUAUGCAAGUCGAACGGCAGCACAGUAAGAGCUUGCUCUUACGGGUGGCGAGUGGCGGACGGGUGAGGAAUACAUCGGAAUCUACUUUUUCGUGGGGGAUAACGUAGGGAAACUUACGCUAAUACCGCAUACGACCUACGGGUGAAAGCAGGGGAUCUUCGGACCUUGCGCGAUUGAAUGAGCCGAUGUCGGAUUAGCUAGUUGGCGGGGUAAAGGCCCACCAAGGCGACGAUCCGUAGCUGGUCUGAGAGGAUGAUCAGCCACACUGGAACUGAGACACGGUCCAGACUCCUACGGGAGGCAGCAGUGGGGAAUAUUGGACAAAGGGCGCAAGCCUGAUCCAGCCAUACCGCGUGGGUGAAGAAGGCCUUCGGGUUGUAAAGCCCUUUUGUUGGGAAAGAAAAGCAGCAGGUUUAUACCCCGCUGUUCUGACGGUACCCAAAGAAUAAGCACCGGCUAACUUCGUG